rnacentral:rRNA from 1 species
UACGUAGGGGGCAAGCGUUGUCCGGAUUUAUUGGGCGUAAAGAGCGUGUAGGCGGCUUUACAGGUCCGUUGUGAAAACUCGAGGCUCAACCUCGAGACGCCGGUGGAAACCGUAAGGCUAGAGUCCGGAAGAGGAGAGUGGAAUUCCUGGUGUAGCGGUGAAAUGCGCAGAUAUCGGGAAGAACACCCGUGGCGAAGGCGGUUCU